rnacentral:rRNA from 1 species
UACAGAGGUCCCAAGCGUUGUUCGGAUUCACUGGGCGUAAGGUGGCGUAGCGGUCGGGUAAGUCUGAUGUGAAAUCUCACAGCUUAACUGUGAAACUGCAUUGGAUACUAUUCGGCUUGAGAGUUGGAGGGGGGACUGGAAUUCUUGGUGUAGCAGUGAAAUGCGUAGAUAUCAAGAGGAACACCAGUGGCGAAGGCGAGUCCCUGGACAACUUCUGACGCUGAGGCACGAAAGCUAGGGGAGCAAACAGG